rnacentral:rRNA from 1 species
GACGAACGCUGGCGGCGUGCUUAACACAUGCAAGUCGAACGGAAAGGCCCUGCUUUUGUGGGGUGCUCGAGUGGCGAACGGGUGAGUAACACGUGAGUAACCUGCCCUUGACUUUGGGAUAACUUCAGGAAACUGGGGCUAAUACCGGAUAGGAGCUCCUGCUGCAUGGUGGGGGUUGGAAAGUUUCGGCGGUUGGGGAUGGACUCGCGGCGUAUCAGCUUGUUGGUGGGGUAGUGGCUUACCAAGGCUUUGACGGGUAGCCGGCCUGAGAGGGUGACCGGCCACAUUGGGACUGAGAUACGGCCCAGACUCCUACGGGAGGCAGCAGUGGGGAAUAUUGCACAAUGGGCGGAAGCCUGAUGCAGCAACGCCGCGUGCGGGAUGACGGCCUUCGGGUUGUAAACCGCUUUCGCCUGUGACGAAGCGUGAGUGACGGUAAUGGGUAAAGAAGCACCGGCUAACUACGUGCCAGCAGCCGCGGUGAUACGUAGGGUGCGAGCGUUGUCCGGAUUUAUUGGGCGUAAAGGGCUCGUAGGUGGUUGAUCGCGUCGGAAGUGUAAUCUUGGGGCUUAACCCUGAGCGUGCUUUCGAUACGGGUUGACUUGAGGAAGGUAGGGGAGAAUGGAAUUCCUGGUGGAGCGGUGGAAUGCGCAGAUAUCAGGAGGAACACCAGUGGCGAAGGCGGUUCUCUGGGCCUUUCCUGACGCUGAGGAGCGAAAGCGUGGGGAGCGAACAGGCUUAGAUACCCUGGUAGUCCACGCUGUAAACGGUGGGUACUAGGUGUGGGGUCCAUUCCACGGGUUCCGUGCCGUAGCUAACGCUUUAAGUACCCCGCCUGGGGAGUACGGCCGCAAGGCUAAAACUCAAAGGAAUUGACGGGGCCCCGCACAAGCGGCGGAGCAUGCGGAUUAAUUCGAUGCAACGCGUAGAACCUUACCUGGGUUUGACAUGGAUCGGGAGUGCUCAGAGAUGGGUGUGCCUCUUUUGGGGUCGGUUCACAGGUGGUGCAUGGCUGUCGUCAGCUCGUGUCGUGAGAUGUUGGGUUAAGUCCCGCAACGAGCGCAACCCUUGUUCACUGUUGCCAGCACGUUAUGGUGGGGACUCAGUGGAGACCGCCGGGGUCAACUCGGAGGAAGGUGGGGAUGACGUCAAGUCAUCAUGCCCCUUAUGUCCAGGGCUUCACGCAUGCUACAAUGGCUGGUACAGAGAGUGGCGAGCCUGUGAGGGUGAGCGAAUCUCGGAAAGCCGGUCUCAGUUCGGAUUGGGGUCUGCAACUCGACCUCAUGAAGUCGGAGUCGCUAGUAAUCGCAGAUCAGCAACGCUGCGGUGAAUACGUUCCCGGG